rnacentral:lncRNA from 1 species
AGUUUCCAUCCCGUUGCAUUACUUUAUGAUGAUAUCAUCUUUUCUAUUUUUCGUAUAGAAAAUCAUCACGAGGAUCAGUAAAUCCUUUGCAAUCUUGAACAGCAAAAAUUGCAAAUACCAACAAAAACGUUACAUAAGUUCCACGCAUCAUGUAACCAAUCAUCAGCAGCAGAAACUCCAAGAACUCAAACUUUCUGCUUCCUGUUCUU